UUUUUCAGAUAGUGCAGUGGGAUCUUUAACAUCCACAUGAACAGGCACAGUGGGACAUGGGUUUAGAAUCUCAUUUGAAGUACAGCAUUUCUGACAAUGCAACACUCCCUCCAGCAAUGCACUGGAUGGAUUUUUGUCUUCCAUGUGCUUCUUAUUUUUGUCAUGAACAUGAGCGCACUUUGAGUGCUAGAUUUCCAGCAGAUUCCAACUCUGUGUCUCCAAGCAUGUUCCAGAGAGAUUUAGCUCCCUCCACCAACUCACAAAUUCCCAUAAUAUAUACUAAUCACAUCAUGGGAGGAUUUUAAAAAGAAUUGAAAGUUGAUAACUUGGAAAUACACCAUUAGGGCAGAAUGCCAGGCUCUGGGGCAGUUAUAGGAGUGCACAACUAGGCAGAGCUGUGGGGGUGCACGGCUGGGCACGGUUACAGCUUUGUAUGAUUGGGGCAGAAAAGCAGGUCUGUAGGUAGAGUUCAUGUUCUACUCAGGUGAAAGGCAUCAUACAAAUGUAAUUUGUUUUUGUUGUUGCAGGGCUGUAGUGCUGAAGCAGAGGAGCAGGGGUGUGGUACUGGAGCAGAGUAACAGGGCUGUAGUGCUGAAGCAGAGGAGCAGGGCUGUGAUACUGGAGCAGAGUAACAGGGUUGCAGCACCGGGGAUGUGUGCUGGAGAUGGUUGGGUAGCAGCGGCAAUGAGAGCAAGAUGAGAGCAUGGUGAGUUAUUGGCAGAGGUGGCAGGAGGCUGUAGCACAUUUGAAUAUUCAAAAAACCAUUUGAAUAUUCAAAAAAAUGAAUAUUCUUCCCCUAAAUUCUAAAUUAAUUUCUACUGCCUGGAAGCAACUGCCUGGAAGCAAGGGGGAAACCUUAGAGAUGCUGAGCGCUAGAAUUUGAAAGAAGCGUGAGGUGUAGGGGAGGGAAUGAGCCACUCUAACCCACAGCCACUCUCGGGAGAUUAUCAGCACUCUUCUGUAAACCCUAUCUGAACUCUGGAUUGCGUUUCACUGGCUAAGGUAUAUCCCCCUGGUCUCUGUUGCUCUUGUGUGUGCACACUGUUCCUCCACGUUUAUCUUUGUGGAUUGUAUUUUGUGCUUCAUUUUUGAUCUGUGCAUAUUUCAAUAUUUGAGGGAAAGGCACAGUAUACAAUGUCAUCCUCUCUGAUCCAUCCGCCACCCUCUCUCUCCUUUCCUCCCUCCCUGUAGGUACAGUUAUAAGGAUGUCUCUUUCACUGAACUGUAGAGUGUUUGAAGCAGUUUGUCUAAAAACCAGUCCUCACUUGUUUUCUCUGAAAUUAUAUUGUAUUGUCAGGCGUCACUGUUUCAGGGGUUAGGAGGUAUGAGUGAGACGACACAGUCUGGUCUUCAAACUAAUAUUAGAAGCAUUGUAAAUUUAAAGAUAAUUUUAAAGGAAAAUAUAUAGUAUAUAGUUAUUUUGAUCGUUCUUACUACGUGUAGGGUGAAAAGGGAGUCUGCUGUGCUGAACUGUUUAGCUUGUCAUUCACUGUUUUGGGGUUUUUUGGUCUCCAAAGUGCAUCAUCUUCUAAAGCAGAAAAUCUACACUCACAUAUGCAUAUUGUAUAUGUGUAGAAAAUGUAAUCACACCUUGUCUUCGAUUUACAUUAAACUGUGUUAAAUCACUGCAGGGCA